rnacentral:sRNA from 2 species
UCUUAACCGCAAAGGACGCAAGGAUUUACGCAAAGAACGCUAGAAAAAGCUUUGCGAAACUUUGCGUAAAUCUUAGCGUACUUUGCAGUAAAUU